UACGUAGGGUCCGAGCGUUGUCCGGAAUUAUUGGGCGUAAAGGGCGCGUAGGCGGUUUGACAAGUCUGAUGUGAAAUCUCUGGGCUCAACCCAGAGUCUGCAUUAGAAACUGUCGGGCUUGAGUAUGGGAGAGGUGAGUGGAAUUUCCGGUGUAGCGGUGAAAUGCGUAGAUAUCGGAAGGAACACCUGUGGCGAAAGCGGCUCACUGGACCAUAACUGACGCUGAGGCGCGAAAGCUAGGGGAGCAAACAGG
rnacentral:rRNA from 1 species